GGGGCUGUGGUGUAAUGGCAACACAGCGGCUUUGCAAGUCGUUAUUCCGGGUUCGAGUCCCGGCAGUUCCA
rnacentral:tRNA from 1 species